rnacentral:rRNA from 1 species
UGGCUUACCAUGGUUUCAACGGGUAACGGGGAAUUAGGGUUUGAUUCCGGAGAGGGAGCCUGAGAAACGGCUACCACAUCCAAGGAAGGCAGCCGGCGCGCAAAUUACCCAAUCCCGACCCGGGGAGGUAGUGACAAUAAAUACUGAUACCGGGCUUUUUUGGGUCUUGUAAUUGGAAUGAGUACAAUUUAAACCCCUUAACGAGGAACAAUUGGAGGGCAAG